UGGACAGCAUUUGGCAGAAAGACACACAC
rnacentral:piRNA from 1 species